UACGGAGGGUGCGAGCGUUGUCCGGAAUCACUGGGCGUAAAGGGCGCGUAGGCGGUCUGGUAAGCGUGCGGUGAAAGCCCGGGGCUCAACCCCGGGUCGGCCGUGCGGACUGCGAGACUGGAGCACUGUAGAGGCGGGUGGAAUUCCGGGUGUAGCGGUGGAAUGCGUAGAGAUCCGGAAGAACACCGGUGGCGAAGGCGGCCCGCUGGGCAGUGGCUGACGCUGAGGCGCGACAGCGUGGGGAGCAAACAGG
rnacentral:rRNA from 1 species